GACGAACGCUGGCAGCGUGCUUAACACAUGCAAGUCGAACGAAGUGGCGAACGGGUGAGUAAUACGUGGGUAACCUGCCCUCCUUUUUGGGAUAAGCCUUGGAAACGGGGUCUAAUACCGAAUAAAGGGGGCUGGGCUCGCGGCCUAUCAGCUUGUUGGUGGGGUGAUGGCCUACCAAGGCGGUGACGGGUAGCCGGCCUGGGAGGGGGACCGGCCACAUUGGGACGGAGAUACGGCCCAGACUCAUACGGGAGGAAGCAGUGGUGGAUAUUGCACAAUGGGCGAAAGCCGGAUGCAGCGACGUCGCGUGGGGGAUGAAGGCUUUCGGGGUGUAAACCUCAUUCGCUAUCGAACGGGGAGGUGGAGAAGAAGCGCCGGCUAACUACGUGCCAGCCGCCGCGGUAAUUC
rnacentral:rRNA from 1 species